rnacentral:rRNA from 1 species
UACGUAGGGUGCGAGCGUUGCCCGGAUUUAUUGGGCGUAAAGGGCGCGUAGGCGGCUCGGCACGUCCGUUGUGAAAUCGCCCGGCUCAACUGGGCGGGGUCAGCGGAUACGGUCGAGCUUGAGCAAGCUAGGGGGCAAUGGAAUUCCCGGUGUAGCGGUGAAAUGCGCAGAUAUCAGGAGGAACACCGGUGGCGAAGGCGGGUCUCUGGGCCGAUACUGACGCUGAGGAGCGAAAGCGUGGGGAGCGAACAGG